rfam:Ciona savignyi cont_45515, whole genome shotgun sequence.
UACCUGGUUGAUCCUGCCAGUAGUCAUAUGCUUGUCUCAAAGAUUAAGCCAUGCAAGUCUAAGUACGAGCUCUCGUACAGUGAAACUGCGAAUGG